rnacentral:rRNA from 1 species
GCACAAACAAACCUCCGAAUGAUCCAUGCCAAGGCCUCACAAGCCAAAGCGAACUAAUAUUCACAAUUGACCCAAUAAUUUGAUCAACGGAACA